GUCGGGAUAGCUCAGCCUGGUAGAG
rnacentral:tRNA from 1 species